GAGGGGGUAAGGCUCCCGGUAGACGACCGGGUUGAUAGGCCGGAGGUGGAAGCGCGGUAACGUGUGGAGCUGACCGGUACUAAUAGGCCGAGGACUUGACCUC
rnacentral:rRNA from 1 species